CUGUGAUACUCACUAUCUGUCCUGGAUUUGCUGAUUGGACGACGCAUGACUGCUUUACCUGCAGGGACAAGAGCAGAUGCCCAAACAUAGAGAGGAUUUUUGGACCUCAUGACUCCCUUCUCUUUGAAAAAGAACUUAAAGAAAACAUCCCAAAUUGUUCUGGAGUUCGUCCAGUAGGAAAGAACUGCUCGGUGUGCCAUUCCGACUUCACCAUCAAAAUCUACUGUCCAAUAAACAUCCAGAAAUUUGAGGCAGAGACGAAUGGACUGAAAAUUACCAACAUAUCUAAAGGGUGUGAAGAAGAGCAAAACACCAACCCUAGAUUCCACGGACCGACUACUGGUGCAAGCCAGAUUUCUGCACACACUGGAGUAAUAUGUGUUGCUCUUCUUUUCAUCUUGUCUGGGUGAUCUUAAACAGAGUAAGUAUGAUUCAUCACACAACUUUCAAAACAUUUU